rnacentral:rRNA from 1 species
UACAGAGGGUGCGAGCGUUAAUCGGAAUUACUGGGCGUAAAGCGUGCGCAGGCGGUUCGUUGUGUCGGCGGGGAAAGCCCCGGGCUCAACCUGGGAAUGGCCGUUGAAACUGGCGAACUGGAGUGUGGCAGAGGGGGGUGGAAUUCCGCGUGUAGCAGUGAAAUGCGUAGAGAUGCGGAGGAACACCGAUGGCGAAGGCAGCCCCCUGGGCUGACACUGACGCUCAGGCACGAAAGCGUGGGGAGCAAACAGG